UCGUCAUUGCUGCGGUUAAAAAGCUCGUAGUUGGAUCUGCGCCGCAGGACUUGGUCCACCCACUGGGUGAGAACUGAGCUCCUGGGCUAGUACUGCUGGUUUUCCCUAAGUCACCUUCAUUGGUUGCUUAGGGUGGCUAGCGAGUUUACUUUGAAAAAAUUAGAGUGCUUCAAACAAGCUAGUGCCUGAAUAGUCUUGCAUGGAAUAAUAGAAUAGGAUCUUAGUUCUAUUUUGUUGGUUUUCUGAUCUGAGAUAAUGGUUAAGAGGGACGGACGGGGGCAUUCGUAUCGCUGCGUGAGAGGUGAAAUUCUUGACCGUAGCGAGACGUCCAACUGCGAAAGCAUUUGCCAAGAAUGUCUUCAUUAAUCAAGAACGAAAGUCA
rnacentral:rRNA from 1 species